rnacentral:rRNA from 1 species
UGAGUACGAGAUGCUACGGCGUCGAAGCAGUGUAUGUCAGACUUCCAAGAAAAGCUCGCAAUGUCAUAAAUAAAUAAUGCCUGUACCAUAACCGACACAGGUGGGUAGGUAGAGUAUACUAAGGGGCGCGAGAUAACUCCCUCUAAGGAACUCGGCAAAAUAACUCCGUAACUUCGGGAGAAGGAGUGCCUUAUUUUAUAAGGUUGCAAUAACAAGAUCCAAGCAACUGUUUACCAAAAACACAGGUCUCCGCUAAGUCGUAAGACGAUGUAUGGGGGCUGACGCCUGCCCAGUGCCAGAAGGUUAAAGAAGUCGGUUAGCUUUGUGAAGUUGAUAACUGAAGCCCUGGUGAACGGCGGCCGUAACAAUAACGGUCCUAAGGUAGCGAAAUUUUUUGUCGGGUAAGUUCCGACCCGCACGAAAGGCGUAAUGAUUUGGAUACUGUCUCGGAGAGGGACUCGGUGAAAUAGACUUGUCUGUGAAGAUGCGGACUACCUGCACCAGGACAGAAAGACCCUAUGAAGCUUUACUGUAACUUGAAAUUGAAAUUGGACUUUAUUUGCGCAGUAUAGGUGGGAGGCGUUGAAAAUAAUCUUGUGGGAUUUUUGGAGCCAUUAGUGAGAUACCACUCCUAUAAUGUUAGAUUUUUAAUUUUGUAUUAUAAUCUGGUCAAAGAACAGUUUCAGGCGGGCAGUUUGACUGGGGCGGUCGCCUCCCAAAUGGUAACGGAGGCGUACAAAGGUUUCCUCUGAACGGGUAGAAAUCGUAUUUAGAGUGUAAAGGCAUAAGGAAGCUUGACUGUGAGACUUAUAAGUCGAGCAGGGACGAAAGUCGGUCUUAGUGAUCUGACGGUGCUGAGUGGAAAGGCCGUCACUCAACGGAUAAAAGUUACUCUAGGAUAACAGGCUGAUCUCCCCCAAGAGUUCAUAUCGAUGGGGAGGUUUGGCACCUCGAUGUCGGCUCAUCCCAUCCUGGGGCGGUAGUACGUCCCAAGGGUUGGGCUGUUUGCCCAUGAAAGCGGUACGCGAGCUGGGUUCAGAACGUCGUGAGACAGUUCGGUCCAUAUCCGGUGUAGGCGUUAGAAUAUUGAGAGGAGCCUUCUUUAGUACGAGAGGAUUGAGAAGGACAUACCUCUGGUGUACCAGUUAUUGUGCCAAUGGUAAAUGCUGGGUAGCUAUGUAUGGAGAGGAUAACCGCUGAAAGCAUCUAAGCGGGAAGCCCACCUCAAGAUGAGUA